GACGAACGCUGGCGGCGUGCUUAACACAUGCAAGUCGAACGGAGUGGCGAACGGGUGAGUAACACGUGGGUGAUCUGCCUUGCACUUCGGGAUAAGCUUGGGAAACUGGGUCUAAUACCGGAUAGUGCAAGAUGAGCUCGCGGCCUAUAAGCUUGUUGGUGGGGUAAUGGCCUACCAAGGCGUCGACGGGUAGCCGGCCUGAGCGGGUGUACGGCCAAAUUGGCACUGCAAUACGGCGCAGACUCCGACAGGAAGCAGCAGUGGGAAAUAUUGCGCAAUGGGCGGAAGCCUGAUGCAGCGACGCCGAGUGGGGGAUGAAGGUCUUCGGGUUGUAAACACCUUUCGACAGAGACGCGGUACCUGUAUAAGAAGCACCGGCUAACUACGUGCCAGCAGCCGCGGUAAUAC
rnacentral:rRNA from 1 species